AUUGAACGCUGGCGGCAGGCCUAACACAUGCAAGUCGAGCGAGUGGCGGACGGGUGAGUAAUGUAUGGGGAACUGCCCGAUAGAGGGGGAUAACUACUGGAAACGGUGGCUAAUACCGCAUACUAUCGGAUGAACCCAUAUGGGAUUAGCUAGUAGGGGGGGUAAAGGCUCACCUAGGCGACGAUCCCUAGCUGGUCUGCGAGGAUGAUCAGCCACACUGUAACUGAGGCACGGCACAGACUCCUACGAGAGGCAGCAGGGGGGAAUAUUGCACAAUGGGCGCAAGCCUGAUGCAGCCAUGCCGCGUGUAUGAAGAGGGCCUUAGGGUUGUAAAGUACUUUCAGCGGGGAGGCGUUACCCGCAGAAGAAGCACCGGCUAACGCCGUGCCAGCAGCCGCGGGAAUAC
rnacentral:rRNA from 1 species